CAAUAGCGUAUAUUAAAGCUGUUGCGGUUAAAAAGCUCGUAGUUGGAUUUCUGUCAAGGACAACUGGUCCGCCCUCCGGGUGAGCACAUAGUUUGGUCUUGGCAUCUUGCUGGAAGCUGUUGCUGCACUUGGCUGUGUGGCGCAGCGUCCAGCACUUUCACUUUGAGGAAAUUGGAGUGUUUCAAGCAGGCACAUGCCUUUGGACACAGUAGCAUGGAAUAAUUAGAUUGGGCUUUUGCUCCAAUUUGUCGGUUUCUGGAGCUGAGGUGAGAAUUAAUGGGGAUUGUUGGGGGCAUCCGAAUUUAGCCGUCAGAGGUGAAAUUCUUGGAUCUGCUAAAGACGGACAACUGCGAAAGCGUUCGCCCAGGAUGUUUUCAUUGA
rnacentral:rRNA from 1 species